CUAACAGCGCGCACCGGAGAACAAUACGCUCACGUCACCUCCCGAUCCUCCGACGCCCGCCUAGGGCGCUUCCACUUUCGCGCGGCGUACGUGUGUGCAUAUAUAUAUAUACGUGUGUGUGUGUACGUGCACGAGAUUUCUCCAGAAGACCCCUAAUUGACAUCUGUGCAUCUCAUUCCCGACAACGUGCACACGGAGAGUGCAGUGGGAUUCGCUCGUAGGCAAUCCAGCACACUGACUCUCUCACCCAUCGCGUGUGUCUUCACCGGCGCCCGCGAUGCAAACGAUUGGAGGCCGCGUGCCGGAUGUGGCGCCGUUAUCUGAGAUGGGAAGCAGCGGAAAUGGCCUCGGCACCGAGCUGGGUGCAACAGUCGCUUCGCCCCACCGCGGCAGCAGCGCCAGCGCCGCUUCCACAGCCGCAAAUGCGCAGCAGAAGCUUGUGCAGGAGUUGCAGGCGAUUCGCGAAAGACGUAACUGGCUCAUCCACCUACUUUACGUCCGACAGGAGUACAGCAACUGCUUGCAGGUAAUCGAGGCACAGCUUCGCGAGACGGGGGGCACGUGCGAGUACGCCCUGUACGUGAAGGGGUUACUAAAACGUCUGGAGGGCUCUCUCUCCGAGUCGUUGGAGCUGCUGCAGACCGCCGUGAUUAUCAGCCCAGAGAACGCGGCGACCCGCACACAGCUCGGGCGUGCGCUGCACCUCCUUGGCCGCCACGAGGAGGCCAUUCAAGCAUUUCAGGAGGCAGCGAGCAUUCGCGUCGUGAAGGGCCUCGGCGCGGACUGGGAGAUCGAGUACUACAUCGGUCUCUGCCACCUGCACCGACGCCACUACCGUCGCGCCAUGGAUGCCUUUCUGCAGUCCAUCACAAUUCAACGCCACGACUGCGCUUACUUGCAGCUGGGGAAAGCGGCACUGCUGGCGCAUGACUACGCGACUGCGCUUCAGGUGUACGAGGAGGCCGUGACGCUGUCGCCGACAAAUCCCGACCUGCUUGCGGUGCUGGGCCACCUCUACCUUCAGCAAGGCAACCCCUGCGCUGCCUUCGACUACUUGGGCCGCUGUCUGACCAUCUGCCCCACCCACAUCGAUGCCCUUGUCGCCGCCUCGAGCAUCAUCCAAGACAGCGGCGACUACGACGUGGCACUGAGCAAGUACCGGAUCGUGGUGGCGCAGCAGCCGGACUCGUCACAGGUGUGGAACAACAUAGGCGCCUGCUUUAUUGGCAAGAAAAUGACGUACGCAGCCGUCGCGUGUCUGCGCAAAUCCGUCUUCCUCUGCCCGCUUGAUUGGAUCGGCCACUACAACCUGGGCGUCGCGUUUCUAAUGAUCGGCCGCUACUGCUCUGCUCUGCAGUGCCUGAACGCGGCUGUGCACCUGCAUGCUGACCACGCACCGGCCUUUAUGCUGCUCGGUAUCUGUCUGGGUGAGAUGAAAGAUCUGCCGAAUGCGUGUCGCGCCUACGAGCACGCCCUCGCGAUGCAGGACGACUUCCUUGUCUAUCUGAACUAUGCGGUGACGUUGUACAAGGGCCGCUCCGUGCAAGAAGCGUAUACAAAGUUCCGCGUCUUCCGCAGCGUAUGGGACCAGCUUACACCCGAGCAGCGCCGCGAGCAGUCCUCGCUCAUUCCUGGAGUCAUCCGACAGUUGGAGGACUUGCUGGAGCCGCCCCCGGAGCCGCCGAUGUCCACCUCCGACCCUGUGCCGGAGGAAAGCGCUGCGGCUGCGUUGGCCACGGCACCGAAUCCCGAGUCGCUGCCGUAGGAGCAGUCGAAGGCGUGGAGAAGAAGUGCCGUACGCGGUUGUGCAGCGGCGCAUGCCCAUUUUUUCUUGCGUUUAGGGGAGAGAGGAAGAUAGUCUUUUAUGGAUGAGAUGGCAAGGUUUGGAUCCUCAUGCAUGCAGCACAGUCCGGGGUGUCGCCCAGGAUGCGCCCACCCCUUUUUCUGCUGUUGCCUCUCAGAGUUUGUUUGUUUUUGCGCUUGCUUCCACUCGGUCUUCCCCACCCCCGCUCUCUCGCUGUUAUGCCGAUGGGCUGCAAAGGGCGAGCAGCACCAUCGUUGCUGCCCAACGCGUCUUUCUUGUUUUUCCUCUGCGGAUCGGUUCUUGCUUUCCAUUUCGCGGUCGUAGCCGAGUUGAAGGAAUAUGCGCGUUC
rnacentral:misc_RNA from 1 species